rnacentral:misc_RNA from 1 species
UCCGGCUUAUCACCGGCAGUCCCUUUAGAGUGCCCAACUAAAUGGUAGCAACUAAGGACGGGGGUUGCGCUCGUUGCGGGACUUAACCCAACAUCUCACGACUCGAGCUGACGACAGCCAUGCAGCACCUGUCUCCGGUCCAGCCGAACUGAAGGACUCCGUCUCUGGAGUCCGCGACCGGGAUGUCAAGGGCUGGUAAGGUUCUGCGCGUUGCGUCGAAUUAAACCACAUGCUCCACCGCUUGUGCGGGCCCCCGUCAAUUCCUUUGAGUUUUAGCCUUGCGGCCGUACUCCCCAGGCGGGGAACUUAAUGCGUUAGCUGCGACACGGAAGCCGUGGAAUGGCCCCCACAUCUAGUUCCCAACGUUUACGGCGUGGACUAC